rnacentral:rRNA from 1 species
UACGUAGGUGGCAAGCGUUAUCCGGAUUUACUGGGUGUAAAGGGCGCGCAGGCGGCCUCGCAAGUCAGAUGUGAGAGCUCAAGGCUUAACCUUGGAAUGUCAUCUGAAACUGCGGGACUUGAGUAUCAGAGGGGAAAGUGGAAUUCCUGGUGGAGCGGUAAAAUGCGCAGAGAUCAGGAGGAACACCAGUAGCGAAGGCGGCCUGCUGGACUGACACUGACGCUGAGGCACGAAAGCGUGGGGAGCAAACA